rnacentral:rRNA from 1 species
UACGUAGGGCGCAAGCGUUGUCCGGAAUUACUGGGCGUAAAGAGCUCGUAGGUGGUUUGUCGCGUUGUUCGUGAAAACCGGGGGCUUAACCCUCGGCGUGCGGGCGAUACGGGCAGACUUGAGUACUGCAGGGGAGACUGGAAUUCCUGGUGUAGCGGUGGAAUGCGCAGAUAUCAGGAGGAACACCGGUGGCGAAGGCGGCUCUCUGGGCCUUACCUGACGCUGAGGAGCGAAAGCGUGGGUAGCGAACAGG